rnacentral:sRNA from 1 species
AUUUGACUUUAUCUACGAUCUUUUUGAACAUGUUUCAAGCCGCAACAACCAGGAUACCUUGAAAUGUGGAAGCAAACAUCGGCGGCCUACAGUCAGCUCACAGUUCAAGGACUCACUGCAUUCCUUAAUGGCAACGCUAAGCUCCUCUAAUCCUUUCUUUGUUCGCUGUAUCAAGCCAAACAUGCAGAAGAUGCCAGACCAGUUUGACCAGGCGGUUGUGCUGAACCAGCUGCGGUACUCAGGGAUGCUGGAGACUGUGAGAAUCCGCAAAGCUGGGUAUGCGGUCCGAAGACCCUUUCAGGACUUUUACAAAAGGUAUAAAGUGCUGAUGAGGAAUCUGGCUCUGCCCGAGGACGUCCGAGGGAAGUGCACGAGCCUGCUGCAGCUCUAUGAUGCCUCCAACAGCGAGUGGCAGCUGGGGAAGACCAAGGUCUUUCUUCGAGAAUCCUUGGAACAGAAACUGGAGAAGCGGAGGGAAGAGGAAGUGAGCCACGCGGCCAUGGUGAUUCGGGCCCACGUCUUGGGCUUCUUAGCACG